rnacentral:rRNA from 1 species
GAUGAACGCUGGCGGCGUGCCUAAUACAUGCAAGUCGAGCGAACGGACGAGAAGCUUGCUUCUCUGAUGUUAGCGGCGGACGGGUGAGUAACACGUGGAUAACCUACCUAUAAGACUGGGAUAACUUCGGGGAACCGGAGCUAAUACCGGAUGAUAUUUUGUACCGCAUGGUUCAAAAGUGAAAGACGGUCUUGCUGUCUCUUUUAGAUGGAUUCGCGCUGCAUUAGCUAGUUGGUAAGGUAACGGCUUACCAAGGCAACGAUGCAUAGCCGACCUGAGAGGGUGAUCGGCCACACUGGAACUGAGACACGGUCCAGACUCCUACGGGAGGCAGCAGUAGGGAAUCUUCCGCAAUGGGCGAAAGCCUGACGGAGCAACGCCGCGUGAGUGAUGAAGGUCUUCGGAUCGUAAAACUCUGUUAUUAGGGAAGAACAUAUGUGUAAGUAACUGUGCACAUCUUGACGGUACCUAAUCAGAAAGCCACGGCUAACUACGUG